rnacentral:rRNA from 1 species
CGUAGGCGAUGGACAACAGGUAGAGAUUCCUGUACCAGUGCUAAUUGUUUAACCGAUGGGGUGACACAGAAGGAUAGGGAAUCGCACGAAUGGAAAUGUGCGUCCAAGCAGUGAGUGUGAGAAGUAGGCAAAUCCGCUUCUCACGAAGCAUGAGCUGUGAUGGGGAAGGAAAUUAAGUACGGAAGUUCCUGAUUUCACGCUGUCAAGAAAAGCCUCUAGGAAGAGUAGUACUGCCCGUACCGCAAACCGACACAGGUAGAUGAGGAGAGAAUCCUAAGGUGAGCG